AACGAACGCUGGCGGCAUGCCUAACACAUGCAAGUCGAACGAGACCUUCGGGUCUAGUGGCGCACGGGUGCGUAACGCGUGGGAACCUGCCCUUAGGUUCGGAAUAACUCCCCGAAAGGGGUGCUAAUACCGGAUAAUGUCUUCGGACCAAAGAUUUAUCGCCUUUGGAUGGGCCCGCGUUGGAUUAGCUAGUUGGUAGGGUAACAGCCUACCAAGGCGACGAUCCAUAGCUGGUCUGAGAGGAUGAUCAGCCACACUGGGACUGAGACACGGCCCAGACUCCUACGGGAGGCAGCAGUGGGGAAUAUUGGACAAUGGGCGAAAGCCUGAUCCAGCAAUGCCGCGUGAGUGAUGAAGGCCUUAGGGUUGUAAAGCUCUUUUACCCGGGAUGAUAAUGACAGUACCGGGAGAAUAAGCUCCGGCUAACUCCGUG
rnacentral:rRNA from 1 species